AGCGAACGCUGGCGGCAGGCUUAACACAUGCAAGUCGAGCGGGCACUUUCGGGUGUCAGCGGCGGACGGGUGAGUAACGCGUGGGAACGUGCCCUCUGGUUCGGAAUAACUCAGGGAAACUUGAGCUAAUACCGGAUACGCCCUUUUGGGGAAAGGCUUGCUGCCGGAGGAUCGGCCCGCGUCUGAUUAGCUAGUUGGUGAGGUAACGGCUCACCAAUGCGACGAUUAGUAGCCGGUCUGAGAGGUUGAUCAGCCACACUGGGACUGAGACACGGCCCAGACUCCUGCGGGAGGCCGCAGUGGGGAAUAUUGGACAAUGGGCGCAAGCCUGAGCCAGCCAUGCCGCGUGAGUGAUGAAGGCCUUAGGGUUGUAAAGCUCUUUUAUCCGGGACGUUAAUGACGGUACCGGAGGAAUAAGCCCCGGCUAACUUCGUG
rnacentral:rRNA from 1 species